rnacentral:rRNA from 1 species
CCUACGGGGGGCAGCAGUGAGGAAUAUUGGUCAAUGGACGAGAGUCUGAACCAGCCAAGUAGCGUGAAGGAUGACUGCCCUAUGGGUUGUAAACUUCUUUUAUAUGGGAAUAAAACGUUCCACGUGUGGGAUUUUGUAUGUACCAUAUGAAUAAGGAUCGGCUAACUCCGUGCCAGCAGCCGCGGUAAUACGGAGGAUCCGAGCGUUAUCCGGAUUUAUUGGGUUUAAGGGGAGCGUAGGUGGAUUGUUAAGUCAGUUGUGAAAGUUUGCGGCUCAACCGUAAAAUUGCAGUUGAAACUGGCAGUCUUGAGUACAGUAGAGGUGGGCGGAAUUCGUGGUGUAGCGGUGAAAUGCUUAGAUAUCACGAAGAACUCCGAUUGCGAAGGCAGUUCACUGGACUGUAACUGACACUGAGGCUCGAAAGUGUGGGUAUCAAACAGGAUUAGAUACCCCAGUAGUC